UACGAAGGAUCCAAGCGUUAUCCGGAUUCAUUGGGUUUAAAGGGUGCGUAGGCGGACUGAUAAGUCAGCGGUGAAACCUCUCGGCUUAACCGAGAAACUGCCGUUGAUACUGUUGGUCUUGAGUAUAGAUGAUGUUGGCGGAAUAUGACAUGUAGCGGUGAAAUGCUUAGAUAUGUCAUAGAACACCGAUUGCGAAGGCAGCUGACAAAACUAUAACUGACGCUGAGGCACGAAAGUGCGGGGAUCAAACAGG
rnacentral:rRNA from 1 species